UCCACUGUCCUUCUGUGUUCAUCCAGAGAACCCAACCAGAACUCCACGAUGAGAGCUCUCUACCUUGCCUUGGCCAUCGUGAUGUUGGUUGUCACCGACAUGGCUGUUGCAGGAACCUGUAAGAAGCGCACCUGCAGUAGCUAUGGAGGCAUGUGUGGCACUCACUGCCUGAAGACUCGACACUACCACACCUGCGACUGCGGUAGUGCCGUCUGCUGUGUACCUGACAUGAAAGGCUGAGCAGGAGGCAGGCCGCCUCACGAGGAGGAGCUGGAGACCCUGUCCUUCACCACUCAGCUGUGUAGAGGGGCCCAUCAUGGAUGCUUCUCCUCAAUAAAUUGACAUGAACGUC